rnacentral:rRNA from 1 species
GACGAACGCUGGCGGCGUGCUUAACACAUGCAAGUCGAACGGAAAGGCCCUGCUUUUGUUGGGUGCGCGAGUGGCGAACGGGUGAGUAACACGUGAGUAACCUGCCCGUGACUUUGGGAUAACUUCAGGAAACUGGGGCUAAUACCGGAUAUGAGCUCCUGCUGCAUGGUGGGGGGUGGAAAGUUUCGGCGGUUGGGGAUGGACUCGCGGCUGAUCAGCUUGUUGGUGGGGUAGUGGCUUACCAAGGCUUUGACGGGUAGCCGGCCUGAGAGGGUGACCGGCCACAUUGGGACUGAGAUAAGGCCCAGAAUCCUACGGGAGGCAGGAGUGGGGAAUAUUGCACAAUGGGCGGAAGCCUGAUGCAGCAACGCCGCGUGCGGGAUGACGGCCUUCGGGUUGUAAACCGCUUUCGCCUGUGACGAAGCGUGAGUGACGGUAAUGGGUAAAGAAGCACCGGCUAACUACGUG